GGAGGAUGCCUUGGAUUCCAGAGGCGAUGAAGGACGCGUUAGGCUGCGAUAAGCCGUGGUGAGGUGCCUAAAAACCUUUGAUCCGCGGAUUUCCGAAUAGGACAACCUAUUAGAGCCCCUUCGGGGGAGGCGAACGAGGGGAACUGAAACAUCUAAGUACCCUUAGGAGAAGAAAACAAAAGUGAUUUCCUGAGUAGCGGCGAGCGAAAUGGAACUAGCCCAAACCAUUUUGAUUUCGGUCAAAGUGGGGUUGUAGGACUUUCAACAUCUGUAAUUAUACUGAACUGGAACACGUUGGGAAGCGUGGCAAUAUACGGUGAUAGCCCAGUACAGGUAAAGUAUGUUAUGGUAGAAAGACUCCUGAGUAGGGCGGGGCACGUGAAACCCUGUCUGAACAUGGGGGGACCAUCCUCCAAGGCUAAAUACUCCUGACCGACCGAUAGUGAACCAGUACCGUGAGGGAAAGGUGAAAAGCACCCCGACGAGGGGAGUGAAACAGUUUCUGAAACCGGACGCCUACAAGCAGUCGGAGCCCGCAUGACGGGUGACGGCGUACCUUUUGUAUAAUGGGUCAACGACUUGGUCUGUCUAGCAAGCUUAAGCCGUUAGGUGGAGGCGCAGCGAAAGCGAGUCUUAAAAGGGCGACAGAGUUAGACGGAUCAGACCCGAAACCAGAUGAUCUAGCCAUGUGCAGGAUGAAGGUUGGGUAACACCAACUGGAGGUCCGAACCGACACCCGUUGAAAAGGGUCCGGAUGACGUGUGGCUAGGGGUGAAAGGCCAAUCAAAUCUGGAGAUAGCUGGUUCUCCGCGAAAGCUAUUUAGGUAGCGCCUCGAUUGUAUUCUCCCGGGGGUAGAGCACUGCAUGGAUGAUGGGGGCCCACAGCCUUACUGAGUCUAAGCAAACUCCGAAUACCGGGAAGAACUGAUCGGGAGACACACGGCGGGUGCUAACGUCCGUCGUGGAGAGGGAAACAACCCUGACCAACAGCUAAGGCCCCCAAUUCGUGGCUAAGUGGGAAAGCAUGUGAGACUUCCAAAACAACCAGGAGGUUGGCUUAGAAGCAGCCACCCUUUAAAGAAAGCGUAAUAGCUCACU
rnacentral:rRNA from 1 species